rnacentral:rRNA from 1 species
UACGGGGGGAGCAAGCGUUGUUCGGAUUUACUGGGCGUUAAAGGGCGCGUAGGCGGUCGUGACAAGUCACUUGUGAAAUCUCCGGGCUUAACUCGGAACGGUCAAGUGAUACUGUCGGACUAGAGUACAGAAGGGGCAACUGGAAUUCUCGGUGUAGCGGUGAAAUGCGUAGAUAUCGAGAGGAACACCUGCGGCGAAGGCGGGUUGCUGGGCUGAUACUGACGCUGAGGCGCGAAAGCCAGGGGAGCGAACGGG